rnacentral:rRNA from 1 species
AUCGAUAACACCCGUUAAAUUUUACUUCAAUUUAAAAAUUUAUAUACCGCCAUCUUAAGAAUUAAUUUAAAAAUAUUUCUCUAAAAAAUAAAUAAAAAGUUAGGUCAAGGUGUAAUUUAUAUUAAAGAAUGAGAUGAAUUACAUUAAAUAUUAUUUAAAGAUUAUUCAUAAAUAUAUUAAUAUAAAUAAGGAUUUAAAAGCAAUAUUUUAAUAAUAUUAAAAUAUGAUAUAAAUAAUAAAUGUGUACACAUCGCCC